UGUUACUUUGGCAGAAUAGUGCAAUAGAUUUAGGAUCUUUAAAUGUAUUUAAUACAGGUAAUA
rnacentral:tRNA from 1 species